AACGAACGCUGGCGGCAUGCCUAACACAUGCAAGUCGAACGAGACCUUCGGGUCUAUUGGCGCACGGGUGCGUAACGCGUGGGAACCUGCCCUUAGGUUCGGAAUAACUCCCCGAAAGGGGUGCUAAUACCGGAUAAUGUCUUCGGACCAAAGAUUUAUCGCCUGUGGAUGGGCCCGCGUUGGAUUAGCUAGUUGGUAGGGUAAAAGCCUACCAAGGCGACGAUCCAUAGCUGGUCUGAGAGGAUGCUCAGCCACACUGGGACUGAGACACGGCCCAGACUCCUACGGGAGGCAGCAGUGGGGAAUAUUGGACAAUGGGCGAAAGCCUGAUCCAGCAAUGCCGCGUGAGUGAUGAAGGCCUUAGGGUUGUAAAGCUCUUUUACCCGGGAUGAUAAUGACAGUACCGGGAGAAUAAGCUCCGGCUAACUCCGUG
rnacentral:rRNA from 1 species